rnacentral:rRNA from 1 species
UACGUAGGAUCCGAGCGUUGUCCGGAAUUACUGGGUGUAAAGGGCGUGUAGGUGGGCCUCUAAGUCGGUGGUGAAAUCCUGCAGCUUAACUGUAGAAUUGCCGUCGAUACUGGAGGUCUUGAGUGCGGCAGAGGGAGAUGGAAUUCAUGGUGUAGCGGUGAAAUGUGUAGAUAUCAUGAAGAACACCGGUCGCGAAGGCGGUCUCCUGGUCCGUUACUGACAAUGAGGCGCGAAAGCGUGGGGAGCAAACAGG